rnacentral:rRNA from 1 species
UACGUAGGGGGCGAGCGUUGUCCGGAUUCAUUGGGCGUAAAGAGCUCGUAGGCGGCUUGGCAAGUCGGAUGUGAAACUCCAGGCUCAACCUGGAGCCGCCAUUCGAUACUGCUAUGGCUAGAGUCCGGUAGGGGAGUGUGGAAUUCCCGGUGUAGCGGUGAAAUGCGCAGAUAUCGGGAGGAACACCGAUGGCGAAGGCAGGUCUCUGGGCCAUAACUGACGCUGAGAAGGCGAAAGCAUGGGGAGCGAACGAGGA